rnacentral:rRNA from 1 species
CCUACGGGAGGCAGCAGUCGAGAAUCAUUCACAAUGGGGGAAACCCUGAUGGGGCGACGCCGCGUGGGGGAAUGAAGGUCUGCGGAUUGUAAACACCUGUCAUGUGGGAGCAAAUUAAAAAGAUAGUACCACAAGAGGAAGAGACGGCUAACUCUGUGCCAGCAGCCGCGGUAAUAAAGAGGUCUCAAGCGUUGUGCGGAAUCACUGGGCGUAAAGGGUGCGUAGGCUGUUUCGUAAGUCGUGUGUGAAAGGCGCGGGCUCAACCCGCGGACGGCACAUGAUACUGCGAGACUAGAGUAAUGGAGGGGGAACCGGAAUUCUCGGUGUAGCAGUGAAAUGCGUAGAUAUCGAGAGGAACACUCGUGGCGAAGGCGGGUUCCUGGACAUUAACUGACGCUGAGGCACGAAGGCCAGGGGAGCGAAAGGGAUUAGAUACCCGGGUAGUC